rnacentral:lncRNA from 1 species
GCUCUGAGAGUCUGAGAUUUAAAGGCCCCUAGAAUGGAAACCUGAGGGCCAAGGGCUCCUGUCUGUCCUUUUCCAUCCUAUAUCUGCUGUGAAGAACCAUAGCUGGCCCGUAUGUGCUCAGUAACUGUUUGUUGAAUGAAGGCACCUUUCUAAAUCACAAGCUGGCAGAAGGGUGGGCCUUCCUGAGACUCCCUCUCUAGAGGUUUAUGUUACUGUCCUUUUGAGAGAAUCCAGAUUCAGACUUUGAGUUCUGUGGCUCUGGGCAAAAACCAACAAAGACCCAAAUCCUCUGUCCUUGGGAGCUUGAAGAGGGUUGACCAGUUCGUGUCGCCAUUGGGUCUGAGAAUGUUGCCUUUAAAAUCCAUUCCUGGUCCCUGCCUACCGCUUCCAGGUCUGGGGAAUAGAGUUGAGGGGGCCACUCUCAGUCACCUGAAUUUGACUCUCCCCACAGAAACAGCAGAAGAAACAAGUGGAACAUCAGCUGGAAGAAGUAACGUGAUUUCUUUGCUUACAACAUGACUGCUGGGUUUGGGGGCACUCAGAUGCAGAGGCGCCAGUCUCAUCUUGCCCACUCCCAGCCUGGGGAAGAAGGCUCACCCCUCAGAUUCCACCCCAUCCCCAUAGGGUCCCUGAUAACCUGGUCCCAUGGGUGGGCCUGUCCUGGGACAUUGGUGGCAUUCUGGGGGCGUGCCUCUUGCUGUGCCAUCUCUGCCUCCCUGUGGUAAGAGCUCUGUCUUCCUCUUCCUACAGGCAAAGAAAGCAAACAAUGAAAUACACAAAGCACAAAUGGAGCAGUUAGAGACAAUCAACAUCCUCACAUUGGAAAAGGCAGACUUGAAGACCACCCUUUACCAUACUAAACGUGCUGCCCGACACUUCGAAGAAGAGUCCAAGGAUCUGGCUGGCCGCCUGCAAUACGCCUUACAGCGUAUUCAAGAAUUGGAGCGGGCUCUCUGUGCUGUGUGUACACAGCAGCAGGAAGAGGACAGGGUGAGUCCAACCAGCUGCCCCAUCCCCUGGCAGCCUGGCUUCCCAGAUGGAGGAGUGAGCCUAAAGGUCCCUUCUGCAGGAUGGAGUGUCCUGCCACGAAGGCAGCAUGGUCAUUUCUCACUGCUUUGUGUAUGG